CACGUAGGGUGCGAGCGUUGUCCGGAAUUAUUGGGCGUAAAGAGCUCGUAGGCGGCUUGUCGCGUCGACUGUGAAAACCCGUGGCUCAACUGCGGGCCUGCAGCCGAUACGGGCAGGCUAGAGUUCGGUAGGGGAGACUGGAAUUCCCGGUGUAGUGGUGAAAUGCGUAGAUAUCAGGAGGGAACACCGGUGGCGAAGGCGGUUCUCUGGGC
rnacentral:rRNA from 1 species